CCUACGGGAGGCUGCAGUGGGGAAUAUUGCGCAAUGGGCGAAAGCCUGACGCAGCCAUACCGCGUGUGUGAAGAAGGCCUUCGGGUUGUAAAGCACUUUCAGUGGGGAGGAAAAGCUGGUGGCUAAUAUCCAUCGGCCGUGACGCUACCCACAGAAGAAGCACCGGCUAAUUCCGUGCCAGCAGCCGCGGUAAUACGGAAGGUGCGAGCGUUAAUCGGAAUUACUGGGCGUAAAGCGCACGUAGGUGGCUUGGUAAGUCGGAUGUGAAAGCCCCGGGCUCAACCUGGGAACGGCAUUCGAUACUGCUGAGCUAGAGUACGAAAGAGGGGGGUGGAAUUCCAGGUGUAGCGGUGAAAUGCGUAGAGAUCUGGAGGAACACCGGUGGCGAAGGCGGCCCCCUGGUUCGAUACUGACGCUGAGGUGCGAAAGCGUGGGGAGCAAACAGGAUUAGAUACCCCUGUAGUC
rnacentral:rRNA from 1 species